CACACACACACACACACACACACACACACACACACACACACACAAAACAAAAAACACUGACCUAGACCACUAUUGUAAGGCUACCUAGAGACAAAAAACACUUACAAUAAAACACACGCCAUUGCGUGACUAACGCCAACUACCACAGGUACGGUAUUUCCGCCUUCUCGGCAGUUUUGCUUGCCGCGGAUUCCGUUACCCCUGGCAACUGGCAUCCGGAAGCGGAUGAUCCUCCCGACGCAGCGUCAGGUCCGGGGUAGCCUAACGCUGCGUCCCGACGCCUGGGUCGUUCGUUUCUCUUCAUCUCUUCUUGAAGGCAUUUUAUCAUCUCACAUCAUCGCAAGCAGGGUGCUGAUGCUUGAUGCUUUUUGAUAGCAAAUGAGAGAAAACCAAGAAAAAACGCUCAUUGUGCAUUAAGUCAUCUGGUUAUUUGAGCGUGGUUGAGAAUGUUGAAGAGGCAUCCCUGGUAUGUUCCAGAACAAGUGGGAAGUACGACCACUCUACCAUUGUGCUGACUUUAUGGCAGAUGGACUGGAGGAAUGAAGCGGCAGGUGGCUGGUGUGAACCAGGGGUCCUGUAGAAGCAGCAGAGGAUAAAGCUGAGGCAGGAACUGACGAGAAGUAAGUCAUUUCUGAUGAUGCCUCUGCUUUUUACCAACAAUGUGGCAGGAUCUGAAGGCACGUGAUUUGGGACAUAUGUUUCUGGUUUGUGAUUGGGGUGCAAAUUAAAUGCAAGAGGGCAAUCCCAAACAGAGGGUGUGUGGCCAAAUUAAACAAGUUUAUGCAUCCAUAAGGAGAGCCCAGAUAUAGGAAUUCUAAUUAGGAAAACAAUAUGAUAUUCUCUCUGGGCUCCUGGAUUUUCACUCAAAAUGUUGAACUUCCUUGGAAGGUCUUCAUAUUCGCUUUUCAUUUGAAGUCCCAGAUUAUUUUUGCGAAAAUCAAUCCUACGUGAUACUUGUAAAGUAUAUGCCCUCACUUUCUUUUCAAGGUUCAAGAAUUGUGGAUGUGUGCUAUUGGUUUGAUUCCCAAAUUCUGGCAGAUGUCCCAAAAGAAAAAAAAUGCGUAAAACUCUAGACCCAAAAGUGCCCAUUAGUUACCUCUAAGCGUGCCAAGUUGUCGAACGAUAUUACAGUUAUGAUCUUUAAAGCAUUUGUAAAAAAGCUGGAUAACUUUGUGUAAAAAAGCUGAAUUUUAUAGCUUCGCCUAUGCCAAAGAGAUUUCCAACAGAAAGCACCCUGGUAAGCCUAAUUAUUACUCCACAUAUGGUACAUGGCAUCAUAAGCUAUUUUUGAGGUUUGGGGAAAGAGAGAGCCAAGUGACGACCACAACAGGGCGUGCUGAACAAUUUUAACUCUGAAUCUAACAUCCCUAGUUGGCAGAGCAUAAGACACAAAAUGCUGCUUCAGCGAUCCGUCUCUCACAUAUUUAAUUUGAGGGCAAAUAAUUUAGUUAAAAUUUACGGGGUGGGGUGGAGAAGGGAGUGAUAUACAAGAAGUCAGGAUAGUGCACCUAGAGUCAGGGAAGAUUGUUCUUCAGAAUAUCACAGCCGUUAUUAGCAAGGGCAGGUUUCAUCUCAUACUUUAAAAUCAUGUCAGCGUUUAUGACUCUAGCCUUCAUUGAGGGAAAAAUGCAUAAUCUGAGUUAGAAGGCAGCUGAAGUUGAACAUUAAAAAAUUUUAGCUCUCGAAUGUGUUAGGCUGUUGCAUAAACAAAAUAAUUUGGGGAGAAUGAACUCAGAGAAACAUGGAAGCCAUCACCCAUUUAUCAGAGUUGCCUGUAUGCCUUUAACUGAUUAUGUUUGAAAGGUUCUUCAGAGAAAGAAUUAGACGUUAAAGAAAGAGGGGUAUUUCAUACUUACGACUUCAGUGUGUCAGUCCAGUGAGAACUAUUUCUAAAUCAGUUAUGUGGAUAUCUCAACGUGGCUUCAGAUAAAUUCAGGCAUCCUUCUACCUCCAUCCCUGAAACAUUUUAAAAGUCAGUCUUGUCUAUUGUUUAGUUGCAGAAUCUUUUGCUCAGAGAUCAUUAUGACACUGGAGGGGGCAUGCCCAUAAUGCCUGGGACACUUAUAAGGCAUUCACACAUAUUGAAUGAUAAUUACGCUUACAUCUCUUACCAUCUUUUGUUGGAUCUCUAAAGCCUUUGAUUCUACAAGUCUGAGAAACUUAGCAGAUUCCUGGCACCAUUUCCCUCUGGUUUUAGAUAAAAGUAAGAAUUUCCUUCUCUAGCGAAAUAAAGGGAUAUGCCUUUCCAGUUUUCCAUUCUAAAUAUUAAAAAAAAAAAAAAAGGACACUGCUUAAAGUUAAGGAUUGUCUUCACUAGGGCAGAGUCAUUGGGAGCAAAUAAUUAAUAUUCCCAGUAGAUCUAUAUUCAUGAGCAAGGCCAAAAGAGAAUCAUGACAUCAGCAUUUUGGGUGGCUUUUUAUUCUUUUGUGGUUAUUUCAUACUCUUUUAAAGCAAAAUCAGAUAUACUUUACUUACUUUAUUUAAAUAUACCAGUUAACAAACGAGGAAAACCAAAUCCAGGUUUUAAUCCCGCCUUAUUUGUAUUUGUCAGUUGAAUGAUUUAUAAACCUCUGUGGCAUAAAACUUCUAAGCAUUAUGAUAAGAUUAGAACAGCUUCAUUUUUUCUUUUGAGAAAGAACUAGAAUUACUGUUCUUUAAAUCUGGCCUCUCUUGUUGCUAUUGCUGUUUUCUCCAAAAGGUGGCGCUUGUGUAACCUUUUUCUUCCUCAGGGUGCAGAGCGCCUGGGGAGCCAGAGGGACCAGAGUGCAUUUUCAGAAUUGUUUUCCUUUGACAAACUCCAAGUAGCCACUUCAAAAAUCUGCAUUUUUGUAACUGCAGGUCCUUUAUGUGCAAAGAACCCUUUACAUAAGAAUUAGUCUGAUUUUGUGAAAGAAAAAACAUGCUUCCUGUCUUAGUUUAGUUUAAACCUUACAGUUCUUUAACCCAAGUUUAUUUUAUAACGUUCUUCUUUCCUUCUGAUCUUUGACUAAAGUUCUAAUUUUUUUUGAUAACCUUGAUCCAUUUGA